UGAACGCUGGCGGCAUGCUUUACACAUGCAAGUCGAACGGUAACAGGCCUUCGGGUGCUGACGAGUGGCGAACGGGUGAGUAAUGCAUCGGAACGUACCCAGAGGUGGGGGAUAACGCAGCGAAAGCUGUGCUAAUACCGCAUGUGAUCUGAGGAUGAAAGCGGGGGACCGAGCAGCAAUGUUUGGCCUCGCGCCUUUGGAGCGGCCGAUGUCGGAUUAGCUAGUUGGUGGGGUAAAGGCCUACCAAGGCGACGAUCCGUAGCUGGUCUGAGAGGACGACCAGCCACACUGGGACUGAGACACGGCCCAGACUCCUACGGGAGGCAGCAGUGGGGAAUUUUGGACAAAGGGCGCAAGCCUGAUCCAGCAAUGCCGCGUGCGGGAAGAAGGCCUUCGGGUUGUAAACCGCUUUUGGCAGGAACGAAACGGUGUCCGCUAAUACCGGGCGCUAAUGACGGUACCUGCAGAAUAAGCACCGGCUAACUACGUG
rnacentral:rRNA from 1 species